rnacentral:rRNA from 1 species
GUAGGGAAUAUUGCGCAAUGGACGAAAGUCUGACGCAGCGACGCCGCGUGAGUGAUGAAGGCCUUAGGGUCGUAAAGCUCUGUUGAAUGGGAAGAAAAAAAUGACGGUACCAUUCGAGGAAGGACCGGCUAACUUCGUGCCAGCAGCCGCGGUAAUACGAGGGGUCCUAGCGUUGUUCGGAAUCAUUGGGCGUAAAGGGUGUGUAGGUGGCCAUGUAAGUCAGUUGUGAAAGCCCCGGGCUCAACCCGGGAAGUGCACUUGAUACUGCGUGGCUUGAGUACCGAAGAGGGUAGUGGAAUUCCAGGUGUAGUGGUGAAAUACGUAGAUAUCUGGAGGAACACCGGUGGCGAAGGCGGCUACCUGGUCGAGUACUGACACUGAGACACGAAAGCAUGGGGAUCAAACAGGAUUAGAUACCCUAGUAGUCC